rnacentral:rRNA from 1 species
CCUACGGGUGGCUGCAGUGGGGAAUAUUGGACAAUGGGGGGAACCCUGAUCCAGCCAUGCCGCGUGUGUGAAGAAGGCCCUCGGGUUGUAAAGCACUUUCAGUGAGGAAGAACGCCUGGUGGUUAAUACCCAUCAGGAAAGACAUCACUCACAGAAGAAGCACCGGCUAACUCCGUGCCAGCAGCCGCGGUAAUACGGAGGGUGCGAGCGUUAAUCGGAAUUACUGGGCGUAAAGCGCGCGUAGGUGGCUUGAUAAGCCGGUUGUGAAAGCCCCGGGCUCAACCUGGGAACAGCAUCCGGAACUGUCAAGCUAGAGUGCAGGAGAGGAAGGUAGAAUUCCCGGUGUAGCGGUGAAAUGCGUAGAGAUCGGGAGGAAUACCAGUGGCGAAGGCGGCCUUCUGGACUGACACUGACACUGAGGUGCGAAAGCGUGGGUAGCAAACAGGAUUAGAUACCCCGGUAGUC